GGCUUCCAUGGCUGAUGCCCCUUGACACAAAGGCCUUUUUAAUGCCUUUGCCCCUCAACUUUGCCUACACUUGUUUCUCUCUUAAAACCUGGAAUAGGAACAGCUCUGGGAAGGAACAGCCAGGAAAGCAAAGCAA